UGCAUGUCUAAGUAUAAGCGACUAUACUGUGAAACUGCGAAUGGCUCAUUAAAUCAGUUAUGGUUUAUUUGAUGGUACCUACUACUUGGAUAACCGUAGUAAUUCUAGAGCUAAUACAUGCAGGAAGACCCGACUUCGGAAGGGUUGUAUUUAUUAGAUAAGAAACCAAUCCAGCUUGCUGGUUGCGUGCCGAGUCACAAUAACUGCUCGAAUCGCAUGACUUUACGUCGGCGAUGGUUCAUUCAAAUUUCUGCCCUAUCAGCUUUCGAUGGUAGGAUCGAGGCCUACCAUGGCGUUUACGGGUAACGGAGAAUUAGGGUUCGAUUCCGGAGAGGGAGCCUGAGAAAUGGCUACCACAUCCAAGGAAGGCAGCAGGCGCGUAAAUUGCCCGAAUCCUGACACAGGGAGGUAGUGACAAGAAAUAACGAUACAGGGCUACAUCUAGUCUUGUAAUUGGAAUGAGUACAAUUUACAUCUCUUAACGAUGAUCAAUUGGAGGGCAAGUCUGGUGCCAGCAGCCGCGGUAAUUCCAGCUCCAAUAGCGUAUAUUAAAGUUGUUGCAGUUAGAACGCUCGUAGUCGGAUUUCGGGGCAGUCCGACCGGUCUGCCGAUGGGUAUGCACUGGCCGGAGUGUCCUUUUUGCCGGAGACCGUGCCUACUCUUAACUGAGCGGGGGCGGGAGACGGCAC
rnacentral:rRNA from 1 species